rnacentral:rRNA from 1 species
GCAAGUCGAACGGUAACAGGAAGCAGCUUGCUGCUUCGCUGACGAGUGGCGGACGGGUGAGUAAUGUCUGGGAAGCUGCCUGAUGGAGGGGGAUAACUACUGGAAACGGUAGCUAAUACCGCAUAAUGUCGCAAGACCAAAGAGGGGGACCUUCGGGCCUCUUGCCAUCGGAUGUGCCCAGAUGGGAUUAGCUUGUUGGUGGGGUAACGGCUCACCAAGGCGACGAUCCCUAGCUGGUCUGAGAGGAUGACCAGCCACACUGGAACUGAGACACGGUCCAGACUCCUACGGGAGGCAGCAGUGGGGAAUAUUGCACAAUGGGCGCAAGCCUGAUGCAGCCAUGCCGCGUGUAUGAAGAAGGCCUUCGGGUUGUAAAGUACUUUCAGCGGGGAGGAAGGGAGUAAAGUUAAUACCUUUGCUCAUUGACGUUACCCGCAGAAGAAGCGCCGGCUAACUCCGUGCCAGCAGCCGCGGUAAUACGGAGGGUGCAAGCGUUAAUCGGAAUUACUGGGCGUAAAGCGCACGCAGGCGGUUUGUUAAGUCAGAUGUGAAAUCCCCGGGCUCAACCUGGGAACUGCAUCUGAUACUGGCAAGCUUGAGUCUCGUAGAGGGGGGUAGAAUUCCAGGUGUAGCGGUGAAAUGCGUAGAGAUCUGGAGGAAUACCGGUGGCGAAGGCGGCCCCCUGGACGAAGACUGACGCUCAGGUGCGAAAGCGUGGGGAGCAAACAGGAUUAGAUACCCUGGUAGUCCACGCCGUAAACGAUGUCGACUUGGAGGUUGUGCCCUUGAGGCGUGGCUUCCGGAGCUAACGCGUUAAGUCGACCGCCUGGGGAGUACGGCCGCAAGGUUAAAACUCAAAUGAAUUGACGGGGGCCCGCACAAGCGGUGGAGCAUGUGGUUUAAUUCGAUGCAACGCGAAGAACCUUACCUGGUCUUGACAUCCACGGAAGUUUUCAGAGAUGAGAAUGUGCCUUCGGGAACCGUGAGACAGGUGCUGCAUGGCUGUCGUCAGCUCGUGUUGUGAAAUGUUGGGUUAAGUCCCGCAACGAGCGCAACCCUUAUCCUUUGUUGCCAGCGGUCCGGCCGGGAACUCAAAGGAGACUGCCAGUGAUAAACUGGAGGAAGGUGGGGAUGACGUCAAGUCAUCAUGGCCCUUACGACCAGGGCUACACACGUGCUACAAUGGCGCAUACAAAGAGAAGCGACCUCGCGAGAGCAAGCGGACCUCAUAAAGUGCGUCGUAGUCCGGAUUGGAGUCUGCAACUCGACUCCAUGAAGUCGGAAUCGCUAGUAAUCGUGGAUCAGAAUGCCACGGUGAAUACGUUCCCGGGCCUUGUACACACCGCCCGUCACACCAUGGGAGUGGGUUGCAAAAGAAGUAGGUAGCUUAACCUUCGGGAGGGCGCUUACCACUUUGUGAUUCAUGACUGGGGUGAAGUCGUAACAAGGUAACCGUAGGGGAACCUGCGGUUG